UACGUAGGGGGCAAGCGUUGUCCGGAAUCAUUGGGCGUAAAGGGCGCGUAGGCGGCGUGACAAGUCACUUGUGAAAUCUCCGGGCUUAACUCGGAGCGGCCAAGUGAUACUGUCGUGCUAGAGUGCAGAAGGGGCAACUGGAAUUCUCGGUGUAGCGGUGAAAUGCGUAGAUAUCGAGAGGAACACCUGCGGCGAAGGCGGGUUGCUGGGCUGACACUGACGCUGAGGCGCGAAAGCAUGGGGAGCGAACAGG
rnacentral:rRNA from 1 species